rnacentral:rRNA from 1 species
UACAGAGGGUGCAAGCGUUAAUCGGAGUUACUGGGCGUAAAGGGUUCGUAGGUGGCCUGCUAAGUCGGACGUGAAAUCCCUCGGCUCAACCGGGGAACUGCGUCCGAUACUGGUGGGCUCGAGUGCAGGAGAGGAACGCGGAAUUCCAGGUGUAGCGGUGAAAUGCGUAGAUAUCUGGAGGAACACCGGUGGCGAAGGCGGCGUUCUGGACUGCAACUGACACUGAGGAACGAAAGCCAGGGGAGCAAACGGG